rnacentral:tRNA from 2 species
GAACGCAUUGGCCAGCGGCGUGCCCGGCGCGUGCUUGUGCUGCACGUAAUCGGUCGUCGACAGAUACAUCAGAUCGGGCCGGUCGCGUUCC